rnacentral:rRNA from 1 species
CAAAUAAGGGCGUAUGGUGGAUGCCUUGACUCUAAGAGGCGAUGAAGGACGUGGCUUGGCUGCGAUAAGCUUCGGGUAGGUGCCUAGCAACCUUUGAUCCGGAGAUGUCCGAAUGGGGAAACCCUCUCUGCUUAAAGCGGAGAAUCCGUCCAAAUUUUUGAGCUUUUUGAGAGCCCCGCACAAUUUUUGUAUGUAAAAAAAUAGUGCAGGGCGAAAAUAAAAAAAACCGGGGUAACUUGUUACCCCGGCGAGAUCGAUGAAGAGCAAACACAUCCUGUUCCUGUUUGUUACAGGUGCAGGUAAUGGUAGAUGAUGGAACUUGCACCGAGUAGUACCAUGAAGACCAAGAAGAGCAUCGCAAUGUUCUCUGCACGAUUUUUGGCUCCUUUUUUUAGUAUUUGUAACAUGAUUUUUCUCCCUUUGCAUUGUGCAGUGCAGUGAUGACGUUUGCUACUAUACAUUGUACAUAUUAAUAUAAUUUUGUCAAGAGCUUAAAAAUUUGGACGGAAGUACACCCGGGGAACUGAAACAUCUAAGUACCCGGAGGAAAAGAGACCAAUACUGAACUUUUUAAUUUACGGGGGCGCUUUCGCACUCGUAAAUUAAAAAGUUCUCGGUAUUCCCUGAGUAGCGGCGAGCGAAACGGGAACAGCCCAAAAUCGUUCGCAUCACAUUGCAUGUGAUGCUCACUUAAAUGCAAAAAUCAAAACGCAAAAUGUAAAAUUGCGGUGCGGAUUUCGCUUUGCGAAAUCCGCGAACAAUUGUUUCGCCACAGGCGAAUCCGUAAUUUUUAUUUUUACACUUUGCGUUUUACAUUUGAGCGAAGUAUCGCGCGUAGCGUGAUGCGAGUGGUGGUUGUAGGGAAACGGUGGAGCUUUGCUCGGAAAGUUACAAAAUAAUUUUGUUAGCCGAAUACGCUGGAAAGCGUAACCCAAGGAGGUAAUAGUCCUGUAGGCGAAAACAAAAUGUCUUUCUGAUCGUUUUUCCUGAGUACCUCGGGACACGAAUAGCCCGGGGGAAUCUGCCGGAACUAACCGGUAAGGCUAAAUACUCUUAGAGAUCGAUAGUGAACUAGUACCGUGAGGGAAAGGUGAAAAGAACCCCGGAGAGGGGAGUGAAAUAGACCUGAAACCAUAUGUCUACAAGCAGUCGGAGCGGGUAUCACACAGGGUGUGAUGUCGCGGAAUCAAGAAGGGUGAAUUAUGAAUUACUGAGGAGUUGAUGGCGCUAGUGGCGCAAAAUCGCGGAGCGAUUUUGCGUUUGCGCGCUUAUGUGUAAUCCUUAAUUCAUUUUAUGUCAUGAUUCUGCAGGUAUCAUGCGUUGCGUGAUGUCCGCGACGGCGUGCCUAUUGAAGAAUGAGCCAACGAGUCUAUUUAUACGGCAGACUAAAUCCCAAAAGGAUGGAGUCAUAGGGAAACCAAGUGUUAAUAGCGCGCAUAUUGUCGUAUGUAUAGGACCCGAAAUCAGGUGAGCUUGCCAUGGGCAGGGUGAAGUCUGUAGAAAUACAGGCGGAGGCCCGAACCGGUUGGUCGUGCAAUUCCAUCGGAUGAUCUGUGGUAAGGAGUGAAAAGCUAAUCGAACCUGGUGAUAGCUGGUUCUCUCCGAAAUAGCUUUAGGGCUAGCGUCGUGCGAACCGUGUGGGGGUAGAGCACUGGAUGGAAAGAAUAGGGGGAAACCUCGUCUUUCCAAUCAAACUCCGAAUACCAUACGUUACUACACGGCAGUUAGACUCUGGGGGCGAAGCUCCAGUGGUCGAAAGGGAAACAGCCCAGACCUCAAUCUAAGGUCCCUAAAUCUAUACUAAGUGCACUUAAGGAGGUGUAAUUUCUCUGACAAUGAGGAGGUUGGCUUAGAAGCAGCCAUCCUUUAAAGAAAGCGUAACAGCUCACUUAUUAAGAGAUUGUGCGCCGCAGAUAAUCGGGGCUAAGUAUAGUACCGAAGGUGAGGGCUUGUGAACUUCAUUGAGGAUUUGUUCUUUAUAAUCUGUGUAGGACGCGGGUGUAGCUCAGGAAGGGAGAGCACUUGCGCGUAACGCAAGGUGUCAUAGGUUCGAAUCCUAUCACCCGCCCCAACAGAUUUUUUCCGAAUACAAAUGUAUUCGGAUCCUCUAUGAAGUUCAUAAGCGGUAGGAGAGUAUUCCACUCUGCGAUGAAGCUGCAUCCGCGAGGAGCAGUGGAGCGUGUGGAAGUAAGAAUGUUGGCACAAGUAACCGCAAUGAAGGUGAAAUCCCUUCACGCCGAAAGACUAAGGUUUCCUUGGCAAUGAUAAUCAACCAAGGGUUAGUCGGGCCUAAGCCGAUGGCGAAAGCUGGAGGCGAUGGACACACGGUUAAUAUUCCGUGACCUCAAUAUAUUUCGAUGGGGAGACGGAGCGUAGUAUGUUUUGCGCAUUAUUGGAUUUGCGUUCGUAUCGUAAGGAGGCUGUUUUGGUAAAUCCGGGCAGCAAUACUCCAAGCGAAGCGAAAAUCGCGCGGCUUCGGCCAAGUGAAAUUAAACAAAGCACGCUUCCAAGAAAAUCCUCUAAGAUUAUGUAUAUUGAGACCGUACCGUAAACCGACACAGGUAGUCAGGUCGAGAAGACCAAGGCGAACGAGUGAGUGUUCCCCAAGGAACUCGGCAAAACAGCAGCCGUAACUUCGGGAUAAGGCUUGCCAGCCGUAGAUAUAGGUUUUGAAUUUGUAAGUUCUAUUGAGGGGAGGUGAGAAAAGCGUAAUAGCUGAGUUGUCAGUACUUUGGGAUCAGUGCGCUCGAAGGAAUACAACGCAUCUCCUCUCUUCAGUUGAAUUUACAAAUAUAUUCGAAAUCUAUAUCUACGGCUGGCCGCAGCGAAAGUACCCCUGGCGACUGUUUAUUUAAAACACAGCUCCCUGCGAACUGGCAACAGUAUGUAUAGGGGGUGACGCCUGACCAAUGCCAGAAGGUUAAAUAUUCGGGGUCUUUUUGUCUUCGGACAAAAAGGCUGAUAGAUAUAAGCCCUGGUGAAUGUCGGCAGUAACUAUAACUGUCCUAAGGUAGCGUAAUUCCUUGUCUACUAAUUAUAGACGUGCACGAAUGGCGUAACGACUGGGGGACUGUCUCGGGGAACAGCUCGGUGAAAAUGCAAUACCGGUGAAGAUGCCGGUUACCCACAGCUAGACGGAAAGACCCCGGGAGCUUUACUAUAGCUUGGCAUUGAGUGCAUGUUUUAAAUGCGUAGCAUAGGUGGGAGACUUUGAAGUGCAGAUUUCGGUUUGCAUGGAGUCGUCAGUGAAAUACCACUCUUUUAAAAUGUGUUCUCUAACCUUUCUGGUAAAACCAGAAGGGGACAGUGCCUGGCAGGUAGUUUUAGUGGGGCGCUACUCUCCUAAAGAGUAACGGAGAGGUCUAUUAAGGUCAGCUAGGCGCGAAUGGAAACCGUGCCGAUAGUGUAAUGGCGUAAGCUGGCUUGACUGUAAGGCGUACAUGCCGAGCAGGUGCGAAAGCAGAGCAUAGUGAUCCGAUGGUUCGCUUUAGAUGCGGCCAGAGCUCAACGGAUAAAAGCUACCCCGGGGAUAACAGGCUGGUUCCGCCCAAGAGUUCAUAUCGACGGCGGAGUUCGGCACCUUAAUUUUUUUGUUACAUUACUCGCAACAAACACAUCGGGGUGCCUAGAAUAGUAAUAUUCUACAAAAACAAAUUGGCUAUAACGGUGAACUCCACAUAUUCAGCCGACCAUGUAGAAGUGGUAAAAUAUGUAUAUGGACAAUACCGUGGGAAGUCGUCCUGUUGAGAGCAGGAUUGACCCCGUAGAGACUACACGCCGAUCCCCCGACUUGAGUCGGGGUGAAGAUAUAGUCCGAUCCUCCUGGUAACAGGAGAAAAUGCCGAUUAGCGAUGUCGGCUCGACUUAUCCUGGGGGUGGAGAAGCUCCCAAGGGUUUGACUGUUCGUCAAUUAAAAAGUCACGCGAGCUGGGUUAAGACCGUCGUGAGACAGGUCGGUCCCCUAUCUGCUGUGGGCGUUGAUUCUUGAGAGGAUUUCUUGAUAGUACGAGAGGACCUUAAGGAACUAACCUCUGGUGUAUCUGUUGUCGCGCCAGCGGCAUUGCAGAGUAGCUAUGUUGGGAAUGGAUAACCGCUGAAAGCAUCUAAGCGGGAAGCCAACCUCAAGAUUAGGAAUCAUUAAGAUCCGUGGGAGAUGACCACGUUGAUAGGCUCUAAGUGUAAGCAUGGCAACAUGCUCAGCUAAGGAGUACUAAUUCAUCGAAGGCAUUCUAUUG